rnacentral:misc_RNA from 1 species
GUGAAUCAUCGAAUUUUUGAACGCAAAUGGCACUCCCUGGUAUUCCGGGGAGUAUGCCUGUUUGAUGGUCGUUAAAAUAAAAAAUGUAUGCUUCUCUCUUUUUUUGUGGUUUAUCGCUUUGGUAUUGAGCCGUCUUUCAAAUGUUAAUUCAUGUUAAAGUGUCUUGAAAUACAUCCAUCCGGUACGAUUAAAGUGUUUUUAGGAUCAUUCUUGAGUAAGUACGCGUGAUGACGUACCAUC